rnacentral:lncRNA from 1 species
UAGAAACUUCCUUGUUUUUAAUUUCUUAACUAAGAGAAACUUCCUUAAAAUAAUUGAGAGCCCUUGAGCACCGACAAUAAAAUACUCUAAAAUACAAUGAUUGAGAUUCACAACAUAUCCUGCCAACCAAGUUAGCUUCCUCCAGAAUUGAAUUUUUUUUUCUUUUGCAUUUUAUGUCCUUAUUUGAAAGUACUAUAUUUUAACAGGACUUCCUUGACUUAAAUUACUUGCUUGGAAAAUCGAUGGUGAUUGGAAUAAUUUAUGACAAUUUGGAGCUUAUGGCGGAAGAGAAACACACAGAUAUGGGAGGACAAAGUUGAGACUGUCUUGCAGAUUAUUAGUCGUGCCAAUCAUACUUUGCAUGUCUGGCAGCACGCACAGAGUACUGCUGCUAACAGAUCAGCUAGCUCCAAUCCAUGGCAGCCUGCCACCUACCUACCUCAAUUGCAACAUUGAUGCAGUUGUUUUCGUGUCGAAGAAUGCAGUUUGCCAUGGGAGCAUGUCUUAGAGAUAAGGUAGCAGGAUUUGUAGCAGCUUUCUCAUGUCAUGAUGGUGGUACUUUUGCUGCACCAGAGGCGGAAACUUGGGGUUAAUACAAAACCCUUGAGUGGAUUGCUUUGAUGAGGUUUAAUAAGGUGAUAUUUGAAAUGGAUUGUAAAAUGGUAGUAGAUGAUGUUCACAAUAGUAAGCCUAAUCGCUGUAUGGUUCACUUAUUCAUAGUUGUCGAACCUUACUUAGAAAUUACUCCAACUAUGCCGUUAUUUUUACUAUGCGACAAGCAAACGGUGACACUAAUGCUCUUGCACAGACAAUCUUUACCCAUGUUUCUCGCGUUACUUUUGAUGUUAUUUUCCAUUGUAUUGUUUCUAUUAUUUGGAAUGAAAUGUCAUAAGUUUACUUGCAUAAAAAAAAAUUACUACUCUACAUCUAAUGAGAAAUGGGGCCAAACAUAAUUUUGAUAAAGUUUUUUAUAGUAAUUUUUUUAUCUCAUUUCAUU